UUGCCUACGGGAGGCAGCAGUGAGGAAUAUUGGUCAAUGGUCGGGAGACUGAACCAGCCAAGCCGCGUGAGGGAUGAAGGUACAGAGUAUCGUAAACCUCUUUUGUCAGGGAACAAAGGCGGGGACGUGUCCCCGGAUGAGUGUACCUGAAGAAAAAGCCUCGGCUAACUCCGUGCCAGCGGCCGCGGUAAUACGGAGGAUGCAAGCGUUAUCCGGAUUUAUCGGGUUUAAAGGGUGCGCAGGCGGUCUGUUAAGUCAGCGGUCAAAGCCCGGGGCUCAACCCCGACCCGCCGUUGAAACUGGCG
rnacentral:rRNA from 1 species